AUUGAACGCUGGCGGCAGGCUUAACACAUGCAAGUCGAGCGGAGAGAAGUAGCUUGCUACUGAUCUUAGCGGCGGACGGGUGAGUAAUGCUUAGGAAUCUGCCUAUUAGUGGGGGACAACAUUUCGAAAGGAAUGCUAAUACCGCAUACGUCCUACGGGAGAAAGCAGGGGAUCUUCGGACCUUGCGCUAAUAGAUGAGCCUACGUCGGAUUAGCUAGUUGGUGGGGUAAAGGCCUACCAAGGCGACGACCUGUAGCGGGUCUGAGAGGAUGAUCCGCCACACUGGGACUGAGACACGGCCCAGACUCCUACGGGAGGCAGCAGUGGGGAAUAUUGGACAAUGGGCGGAAGCCUGAUCCAGCCAUGCCGCGUGUGUGAAGAAGGCCUUAUGGUUGUAAAGCACUUUAAGCGAGGAGGAGGCUACUUUAGUUAAUACCUAGAGAUAGUGGACGUUACUCGCAGAAUAAGCACCGGCUAACUCUGUGCCAGCCGCCGCAGUAACAC
rnacentral:rRNA from 1 species